AUGUCCCAGACCUUUCUUUUCUUAUUCACCUUCCUCCUCUACUGCACAGGAUCCUUCUGCCAGCCUGUGCUGAAACAGUCACCCUCUGCUUCUGCUUCUCUGGGAGCCUCAGUCAAGCUCACCUGCACUUUGAGUAGUGAGCACAGCAGUUACUUCAUUUCGUGGUAUCAACAGCAGCCAGGGAAGUCCCCUGGUUAUGUGAUGAGUGUUUACAGUGAUGGAAGACAUAGCACGGGGGAUGGGAUACCUGAUCGAUUCACAGGAUCCAGCCCUGGGGCUGAUCGCUACUUAACCAUCUCCAACAUCCAGCCUGAAGACGAAGCUGACUAUUUCUGUGGUGUGAGUAAAAGAGGUAUUUAA